GUGAGCUGGUGGCUGCACGCACUUCCUUCAGCUCCUAGCCAGAGUAAUGCAGGCUGAGCCAGGGGCCUGACAAGGAU
rnacentral:miRNA from 1 species